GAAAGCUCAUGCUCAAAUAAAUUGGUUAGUCUCUAAGGUGCCACAAGUACUCCUUUUCUUUUUGCAUAUUUAAAUGUAAACUCUUUCGGGGAGUGUGAUGGGGUAUCCACCCACACAAGGCAGAGCAGGUUAAAUUAGGUCAAUUAACCUGUAGACUGCACCUUGGAGAAGAUUUAGGCUUGCAGGACAAGCACUAAGUGAAGAGGGAACACAGCUGGGAAGGAUGGAGGAAGCUGAGAACAGAUGAGUUAUGCAGGGGGAGUAGUCUGCAGUCACUCCUUGGGACAAGGAAGGAGAGUGCUCUGAUCACUGGCCUAUGCGAUAUUCUGAUAUGGCACCUCAUCAGUCUCCUAUUCCAUUGUGGAUAAAUAAUGAAAGAGUGAAUGAAGCAGGAGGACUGGACCAGGGUCUUCCACCCCCGAGAUGCAGAAAUGGAGAUGCUGAGAUUGUCCAACCAAAGUCAGAUGGAAUCAGUAGCAGAGCUGUGAAUGUAACCUGAGGCUCCAUGCUAGGGAGAAUUGACCAGCUUUCCAUCUGUUAUAAAGUGUAGUGGGUGAAUAUUUUAAAAAUAAAUAUCCAAUUUAGAAUAGCUUCAUGCUCUUUAAAAAAAAAAAAUUAUGCUCUUGCCCAU